GCAAGUCGAACGGCAGCGCGGACUUCGGUCUGGCGGCGAGUGGCGAACGGGUGAGUAAUACAUCGGAACGUACCCUGUUGUGGGGGAUAACUAGUCGAAAGAUUAUCUAAUACCGCAUACUAUCUGAGGGUGGAAGUGGGGGACCGCAAGGCCUCACGCAGCAGGAGGGGCCGAUGUCUGAUUAGCUAGUUGGUGAGGUAACGGCUCACCAAGGCAAUGAUCCGUAGCGGGUCUGAGAGGACGAUC
rnacentral:rRNA from 1 species